GUAUCAUGGCUCAGGAUGAACGCUAGCUACAGGCUUAACACAUGCAAGUCGAGGGGCAUCAGUUUGGUUUGCUUGCAAACCAAAGCUGGCGACCGGCGCACGGGUGAGUAACACGUAUCCAACCUGCCUCAUACUCGGGGAUAGCCUUUCGAAAGAAAGAUUAAUAUCCGAUAGCAUAUAUUUCCCGCAUGGGUUUUAUAUUAAAGAAAUUCGGUAUGAGAUGGGGAUGCGUUCCAUUAGUUUGG
rnacentral:rRNA from 1 species